rnacentral:rRNA from 1 species
GAUGAACGCUGGCGGCGUGCCUAAUACAUGCAAGUCGAGCGAACAGACGAGGAGCUUGCUCCUCUGACGUUAGCGGCGGACGGGUGAGUAACACGUGGAUAACCUACCUAUAAGACUGGGAUAACUUCGGGAAACCGGAGCUAAUACCGGAUAAUAUAUUGAACCGCAUGGUUCACUAGUGAAAGACGGUUUUGCUGUCACUUAUAGAUGGAUCCGCGCCGCAUUAGCUAGUUGGUAAGGUAACGGCUUACCAGGGCAACGAUGCGUAGCCGACCUGAGAGGGUGAUCGGCCACCCUGGAACUGAGACACGGUCCAGACUCCUACGGGAGGCAGCAGUAGGGAAUCUUCCGCAAUGGGCGAAAGCUUGACGGAGCAACGCCGCGUGAGUGAUGAAGGUCUUCGGAUCGUAAAACUCUGUUAUUAGGGAAGAACAAAUGUGUAAGUAACUAUGCACGUCUUGACGGUACCUAAUCAGAAAGCCACGGCUAACUACGUG